rnacentral:rRNA from 1 species
CAAGUUGACAAUAUAUUAUAUAUUAUCUAGUAACGACGGCAUACAAAAUGUUACAUAAAGUAAGUUAACCUUGGUGGUUAUCAAUUAUUUGGUAAGUUCCCCUAAACCUUAAAAUUACCGUCAUGCUAUUUGAGUUUUAAUCAAAAAAGAUUUUAGUACUCAGUAUUAUAUUUUAAAUAUUGUAUAAAAGGGUAUCUAAUCCUUGUUUAUGAUCAAUAUUACGAAUAUAUUAGAUUAUAUUAGAUUAUAAAGUCAUAUUUCACCAAAAUAAGAAUAUAAACUGUAUAAUACUAUUAUAGUUUAUUACUAUAAAAGUCUGACCGCGACUGCUGGCACUUUUUUAGUCAUAGUAUUUUAAAUAAAUUGGUUUAAUCUUACUUUCAUAAAUUAUUAAAUUUUCUUUCCUGGUAAAGAUCUUAA